rnacentral:lncRNA from 1 species
UCCCUGGCCUUGCUCAGUGGGUUGAGGAUCCGGCACUGCCGUGAGCUGUGGUGUAGGUCGCAGAGUGGCUCGGAGCCCACGUUGCUGUGGCUGUGGUGUAGGCUGGCAGUUGUAGCUCCAGUUCAGCCUCUAGCCUGGGAACCUCCAUAUGCCGUAGGUGCAGCCCUAAAGAGACCAAAAAAAAAAAAAAAAAUUCCUAUCUAAUUUAUAAUUCUCUUAGCCUAACUUUCCCCACUUACAUAUUUGUUUAUUUAUUUGGCCACGCCUGAUGCAUGGAUAAGUUUCUGGGCCAGGGAUAAAACCAGAGCCAGAGCAGUAACCAGAGCCACAGCAGGGACAAUGCCAGAUCCUUGACCCACUGAGCCACCAGGGAACUCCCCCAUCCCCACUUUUGUUGAACAGUAUAGUUUCUUAGCAAAUUCUAUACUUAGUCAAUAUGAGACUAAGUCCCCAUUUCCCAAUUAGGUCUUGAAAAUUUGCAGCUUUGAGGGCGACGGUCAUGGGGAUUUUUUUGAAUUUUGGUCGUGGAGUCAUGAAGAUCUUUUGCAUUUUGAGGGAGAAGGUCAAUGAGCACCUUUUGAAUCACCUUAAAUUUUAGGAUGCAGUUUGUGUGUGUUUGCAGAGCCAGUAGGCAUUUUCAUAUGAAGGAUGGCUAAUUCGUAUCAGGAAUUAAACCCUUUUAUUAACGGCAGGACAUCUUAAAACAAUCACCAGUCAUUGUUAAAGUAAAGAACAGCUCAUUAUUUUUCAUAUCUUAAAGAUUGAACCCUUCACCAUGAUUAAUAAAGGAUAGUUGUUAUCUGCUUUGGUCACAAAAAUCCAUGUACAAAAGAAACACUUUGGCACAUUAAAAGUAAAAUGGUAGUGUGAACACUUGUAUCUGCGCUGCUAAUUAAAAGACUUAACUUAUUAGGCCUUGAGGGGGGAGGAAAAAAGAAACAAACAAGUAUAAUUUGCCAGAUUAAUUUUAUGGUCUGUUCUAUUUAAUCAAACUAUACCUUUUAGUGAAAAUGACAAAUCUCACUUGUCAGAAUGUGGCAGAUAAGGAAGAUAAAGGUCAUAUAUUUUAAUGUCACCGAAGGUCUUAUUAAAGGAACCUUAAUUACAUUAGGUACCCAUGAAACAUUAAUUAAAUACUGUCUGAAAUAAUUAGGUCCAAGUUACUGAUGGUUUAAUUAAACUCAGUUUCUUAUUUUAUAAGAAAACUAAAGGUCCAGUAUCUCUGUUAGCAGCAUAAUUGAUCGUAUGUCAAAAAGGCAAAAUAGUAACCUUGACCAGCCGGGGGGGAGGCCCAUGUGGCUUGCAGGGCCUCGUGCGCAUUGCCUCUUCUCCACGGUGGCCUGUGCUGCUGCGAACACCUCAUCGUGUGUGUGCCUGUGCAACCUCUCAGCUUCUGGGCAGCAAAUCAUGGGUGCCCUAGACCGGGGGAGGUGGCUACAACACAGAGCAAAUCCAUUACCUAGGGUUUUUUUGUUUUUUUUUCCUUUUUGUCUUUUUAGGGCCGCACCCACAGCAUAUGGAGGUUGCCGGGCUAGGGGUGGAAUCGGAACUGCAGCUGCCGGCCACAGCCACAGCCACAACAAUGCAGGAUCCGAGCUGUGUAUUUGACCUACACCACAGCUCAUGGCAACACAGGAUCCUUAAACCCACUGAGUGAGGCCAGGGAUCGAACCCUUGUCCUCAUGGAUACUCGUCGGGCUUGUUAAUCGCUAAAAAGUUCAUCUUGAAAAGUUGAUGCUACAUAUGCUGAAAGGUGAGAGGCCAGACAUGUGCCUAUUUUCCUUUUUGGAGCGAUAUCCCGCCUUUUGUCACCUCUGUAUAUUGUAUCUCAGAUAUACUAGACACCCUGUGUGACCACUCGCAGUCUGCACAGAGGGUAUCCUGGCAUUGAAAAAGACUGCCCCAAACUCCAUUCCCAUAUUUCUUUGUACCUCUGUGCCCUAAAAUUCAUUUUCUUCCUUAGUUGUAAUUCUUCGCAAGUAAGGUCAUGGGCCUUCGAAUCAGACUUCGGGGCUUGAAUCUCAGCUCUGCCACGGCUGUGUUACCUUGGACUCGUUACUUUGAAUUUCCUGCUCAUCUGUAAAAUAUUAUGUGCGAUAAUAGCUACUUAACAGGGUUGUUAUGAGGUAACACUUCAGUGCAUAUAAAGCAUUUAGCAUAAGUGAAGAGUAUAUGGCAGGCCCUCAAAAAAGGACACAGAACAUUCUAUAGGAUUAUGGGGAUUUGAGACCCAAGUUGAAUUAGUUGGAUGCAAGUGAAACUUUAGAAUGUGCCAGAAGGGAAAAAGAUGGUACAAAAGCAAAAAUGUAGCUGGAGAUUUUCUGGGCUGAUGAUUUGAAAUGAGCUUCAGGUCCAUUUGGUUGGUUGGUUGGUUGGUUGGUUGGUUUUAGCUCUGCUUUUUGAGUCUCGAGCUGACGGAGCCUCUCCUCCCUCCGUGGGGGGGGACACACUGAGGGGUGGCGAGAUGGGUAGGGGAGGAGAAGGGCUUUCAUCCCACUGGCCUCACUCGAGGACAGCCAGCUCUUCUUUCACUUUGAAUGAGACAGUCUUGUAGCUUCUAAAGUGCAUUGGCAUUUUUAUUGUAUUAACAUUCCUUUUUACAUCUCUCAAUAGCCCUGCGAGGCAGGUACUGCUAGUAGCUCCAUUUUACACAUGGGAACACUGUGUCACAGACAGGUUAACACACAGUUUGCUCUGGGGGUUUUGACUCUGCUUUGCUUUCUGUCCGUGACACCACCCUCUCUGAGCUCAGCCGUGUGUGUGUGUGUGUGUGUGUGUGUGUGCGCGUGCGCGCGCGCGCGCGCGUGUGUGUGCGUGUGUGUGUGUGUGCGUGUGUGUGUGUGUGUGUGUGUGUGUGUGUCUGAGCCUGUGGGCUCCAUCUCACCAGCUCCUGUGAGCUAAGAAUGGAUUUUACAGUUGUGAAGGCUUAUGAAGGAGGAGCAAGAGCAGGAGGAGGAGGAGGACGCAGGGACAAAAACUUAAAGUAGCUGAAAAGCCUCUUUAGGAUCAGGCUGUAACAGAAAACAUUUGCUGCCCCCGAUUUAGUGCAGCACUUCCUCAACUUUCAUGCGCACGUGAAUCCCGCUGGGGCACGUUUCCAGGUGCAGGUUCUGAUUCGCUGGGUCUGGGGCAGGGCCUGAGAGUCUGUGUCUAACAAACUCCCAGGGGGUGCCCAGGCUGUGGGUCCUUAGACCACGCUGUGCCAAGUAAGGGCUGUGCUUCGCACCGACUCCAUCCUCCUGAACAGCCUCUCUUCCCGUAGACGCCUGUGCUGAUGACUGCUUGCCAUCAGCAUCCUAAGGAAUUUAACUCUUUUUAUUGUUCAUAGCAGGUGGACUUUCAGCCCUUCACCUUUAAAACAUCCUAUACCUUUUCCGUCCCGAUUGGCAAUGGCUUCUACCUGCUACCUCUGCCAGUCUAUUACCUUCAUACGCCAGGAGUGGGGUGCUCGGUUGGGGAGACAGCCUGGCCUCCAGGCAUGCCUUGCUGAGGCCCACCCAUGCUGCCCGAUCCGGGCUCAGUCAGUCCCUUUCCUCCUGUCUCUAUAGUUGCAAGUCGCAAUUCCAUGCUAAGUGUCUCCCUAGGAACUGGCACUUGGAACUAUGGAGACAGGAAACCUGGAGACCAGGGACUGUGUCCCUGGCGGUCUCCCCAACAGCAAAUCUACUGGGGAAGCCCAAAGACUAUGACUUCUGCCAUUUCUGUUUCACAUACUAUCUUGUUACUAGUAAGCAUAUUAAUUGCAUGUAUGACAAAUUCUCAUGUAGUACAGUGGUUGGUACUCAGUAAUCUUUCUUAGUUCAAAGAAAAUACUGUGCUUGGCUGGACGGGAGCGCUGCGGUCCUUCCUCCCGGCAAGAAUCCAUCAUUGCUUCAUCGGCAAAGAAGCAGUUUGCAAGGAUAGGUCUUCUUUUUCUUAUUCCCUCCGUCACUUGCCUUCGUCCACGCAGCUCGCCUUGUUUCCUUUCUCGCGCUUUCUGUCAACUUACAUAUUGACAGGUUUGUUUGCCUAGAGUAACUCAGUCCCCCUGGCUCCACUUGGAUGCAGGAUGUUUGAAUUCAGGGAGGACCGGGUAUCAUCUUUCUAAGCCCCCCGCCCCGGUGAGGCAGGCAGGUCAUACAAGCUGGCAUUUCCCAAAGCCAUAGAAAACUUUCCCUAGGAAUUGCCUCUUGGGGGUUUUAAUGCUAAGAUAAGUCAGUCUCGUGUGAAUUACCUUGAUAGGGAAUGCAGAGCAGUUCAGCAAACUCAAUACUUUUUUUUCAUUUGAAGUAACAGAAAUCUUCAAUGAAAGGUAUCUGGAAUCCGUGGCCCGGGCCCUGCUGGGACCCUUGUUCACCUGAGGACAGAAAAAAAGGCUCUUUCAGAGCUUUAGAGUCCCCUGCAAAUGCAGGAGAUUAUUUGCUGCAGCUCCUCGAGAACCCUCAGGAGGCGCACACACCAGCACUGGGAAAGAAGGGCCAUUCCAAAUGAGCAUAUUCAUUUUUCAUUCCAGCCUGGCAAAGGGCAAAACAAGCCAAAGUGGACCAACCCCCUUGUAAAUACGCCCUUUUCACAGAGCCUUCACUCUUGGCACAGCGGGCAGGUGGUGGGAUUGGCUGUCACUGCCUGUUGCUGGAAAGCGGCCCCAGGUGAGUGUGGUGGAGAAGGACGGGAUGCAGACGGUGCCCCCUCGCGGGGCAAGCGCUCCCCCCCACCCCCCGCCAGCAGCCCCGCAGAGCAGCCGGAUUGACUUUUCUCCGAAGAGACUUACCUGCUCUCCUGCCCACUUUGCCAUAAAGAUCUUUCCGAAAAAGAGAGUGGCCAAUGAAUUAUGGAGCAGGAAUGUAAUAACGAAGGUAGAAAUGUGUCCUGUUAUCAGUCACACACAUUCAAGCCCAGCCCGGGGCAGCACAGUAGCGGGACUAUAAGCUCUGGGAUCUUCUCAUUCAACCAAGAUUGCUUCAUACAAAAGUUGACAAUACUUGCCUGAAAGCCAUUAUUGAUAUUCAACAUUUUUUAAAAUAGCUGAACAGAGUAGACAAUAAGGCAUGGCAGAAAACUUGGACAGGAAGCCGGCCUGGAGUCUGGCUUAAGAAAGACACAUGCUAUUAAAAGUAGACAACAAACACGCAUUUCUGAAUGUUUAAUUUAUUCGAAAAUAAGAAUCAACUUUACCAUUCAUUUAUUUUCCUCCUCUAAAGCAACAGAGACAAGCAGAAGUCCAUUUCGGAUGCUCGGUAGGGUAUCUCUGCCGUCCUCCUUGUUCACACUGAAAUCCUCCUGCACCCGGACUCCAUGAUCCUCACUUACAAUUGGAUGAGGCGGGGAGGGACUAAGAGAAGCCUUGAAUGGCCUUUUAGGAAAGAAGUGGAGCAUCUCAAGGUGUCCCAGAGCCAUCAUAAAAUCAUCCAUUCACUCAUUCGGCAUAUCUGCUGAGAAGCCGCAGUGUGCCAGGGGCAUACAAACAGUAAACAGGACAACACCGUCCCCGCUAGAGUCACCAUUUGUCCCCAUUUGCCCGACACUCUCCUGGUGCUAGAAAUCCACGGAUUCCAGAGAUAGCUGGGGGUGGGGGGUGAUUUCUGGUGCCAGACCUGCUCCUUACCAGCUCUCUGAUCUCCAUCAGGACACUCUGCCGAGCUCUUGCUUUCUCUCUUAUAGACAGGAAAAGUAGUAUCUAUCUCAAAGAAUUAUUUGAAGAUUAAAUCACGUUUGGUUCCUGAUUCUGUAGGAACUGCCUGCCUGCCUGCCAUGGCAGCUUUUCAGCCAGCAGUGGAAGAGGGGGAGGUAUCUGGAGAUGUCACAUUGGCCCUGGAAAUAGGAAGGGCUGCUCUCUGCUCUGCCGAAGCAGAGUGGAACCUGCCAGGAAUCGGGCUGUAAUAUCUUGUUACUGGUGUUUAGAUGAGGUAGGGUCUGAGGACCACAGUGCUUUGAUGAGGAAGGGGACCCACAACCCCCAGGGAGACCACCAGCUGGCAGCUUAACCACUUUGUCUGCUGGCAGAU